rnacentral:tRNA from 1 species
GUCCCGAUAGCUUAGCGGUGGAGCGUGCGGCUGUUAACCGCAAGGUCGCCAGUUCGAUCCUGGCUCGGGACG